AACGCACAUUGCGCCCCUCGGUAUUCCGUGGGGCACGCCUGUUCGAGCGUCAUUUACACCCUCAAGCGCAGCUUGGUGUUGGGCGUCUGUCCCGCUCUCCGUAGCGCGGACUCGCCUCAAAGUCAUUGGCGGCGGUCGUGCCGGCUCCUCGCGCAGCACAUUUGCGCUUCUCGGAGGCCCGGCGGAUCAGCAUCCAGCAAGCUACUUUUUAUGACUUGACCUCGGAUCAGGUGAGGAUACCCGCUGAACUUAA
rnacentral:misc_RNA from 1 species